rnacentral:rRNA from 1 species
AUUGAACGCUGGCGGCAUGCUUUACACAUGCAAGUCGGACGGCAGCACAGAGAAGCUUGCUUCUUGGGUGGCGAGUGGCGAACGGGUGAGUAACAUAUCGGAACGUACCGAGCAGUGGGGGAUAACUAAUCGAAAGAUUAGCUAAUACCGCAUAUCUUCUGAGGAAGAAAGCAGGGGACCAUUUGGCCUUGCGCUGUUUGAGCGGCCGAUAUCUGAUUAGCUAGUUGGUGGGGUAAAGGCCUACCAAGGCGACGAUCAGUAGCGGGUCUGAGAGGAUGAUCCGCCACACUGGGACUGAGACACGGCCCAGACUCCUACGGGAGGCAGCAGUGGGGAAUUUUGGACAAUGGGCGCAAGCCUGAUCCAGCCAUGCCGCGUGUCUGAAGAAGGCCUUCGGGUUGUAAAGGACUUUUGUCAGGGAAGAAAAGGGCGGGGUUAAUACCCCUGUCUGAUGACGGUACCUGAAGAAUAAACACCGGCUAACUACGU